rnacentral:rRNA from 1 species
UGGGGAAUAUUGGACAAUGGGCGAAAGCCUGAUCCAGCCAUGCCGCGUGUGUGAAGAAGGCCUUUUGGUUGUAAAGCACUUUAAGUGGGGAGGAAAAGCUUAUGGUUAAUACCCAUAAGCCCUGACGUUACCCACAGAAUAAGCACCGGCUAACUCUGUGCCAGCAGCCGCGGUAAUACAGAGGGUGCAAGCGUUAAUCGGAAUUACUGGGCGUAAAGCGCGCGUAGGUGGUUAUUUAAGUCAGAUGUGAAAGCCCCGGGCUUAACCUGGGAACUGCAUCUGAUACUGGAUAACUAGAGUAGGUGAGAGGGGAGUAGAAUUCCAGGUGUAGCGGUGAAAUGCGUAGAGAUCUGGAGGAAUACCGAUGGCGAAGGCAGCUCCCUGGCAUCAUACUGACACUGAGGUGCGAAAGCGUGGGUAGCAAACAGGAUUAGAUACCCUGGUAGUCCACGCCGUAAACGAUGUCCACCAGUCGUUGGGUCUUUUAAAGACUUAGUGACGCAGUUAACGCAAUAAGUAGACCGCCUGGGGAGUACGGCCGCAAGGUUA